UGCCACCUUAGCAGUCCCGACUCUUGGUGUCCUCUCCAGUCUCCAAAUGACUUCAGUGUGACUGUACACACGGAGCUGCAGACUUCAAGCACUGCCUUUGCAGCUAGAGUCUGCAGACCUUGGACUCCUCUGAAGCUACUGAGAACAGACGCCAAGGGAUCUAACGUGUAAUGUGCAGACACGAUACUGAAAGAUGGUGCAUCCAUGGUGUUGUCUUUCCAGAGCGCCCUGCCAGUCGCAAAACAGUUACCUCAGGGAAUGAAGUAACACCGAAGUUAAAAUCUUCAUUUUCCUUCCCCUUUAGGCCUUCUUCUCCCUUCAGGUCAGUCACCUAUGUGGUACAGAUCACAUGCACCUCAGUGCUAGACAUCCGUUAAGAAACUUUACAGUUUCCGUGGUCCAUGAAGCAUCUUUGGCCUACUGAGGGAACUAAAAGUGGUGGGGAUACAAUCCACGGCCUGCCAUAUGCUAGGGAAGUGCUCCACCACUGAGUUCUACCCACAGCCCACCCAGGAAGAUUGCAUGGGCCACGGCCACAGAUGAAAUCCGCACAAAUCUCAGUACGUGUGUAUGCAGGCACAGAAGACGAAAACCAGCCUGAUGAGCUUCAGUGUGUGUGGAAGAGUUCUCAGGAGUAGGGACAUCCCGGAAAAGUCACACAUCACAGAGGCAAGGCAUCAAAAACUUCUGAAUGUUCACCAUAUUCACCCUAUUGUGCCUUCGAUCACCAGCAUGGAUUCCUCUGAUGCUCACUCUAUCUUCCUGAGGGACCCAGCAGGGCCUGGAUGCUCACGGGAGGCUCUGUGCUUAGGAGCAGAGAUUUCUGGAACGAACCAGUCUUAUCUCCAGGACUUGCGAGUCCAGGCAGAGUUCAUAUGACACUCCUGGGGAGCUGCCAGAAGCCGUGGCCCUGUAAGAGUGAUUUGGGUCCACAACCCUCCAGCCUCGGGUAACACAGAGCAAACACUAAGGACAAAGCUGAUGACUGGAAGGCAAAAAGAGAGAAAGUAGACAAGUGAGCAAGCUGAGACCCACGACCACAAAGGACUCCGUGAGGCUUUGGAGCGGCUCUGCCUCCUUUUCCAUCAAAUUUGGAUUAGCUGUGGCGGAGGAGGGAAGAGAACAAAUAAAGGAAACCCACAGAUAAUCCGCGGCCUCCAUCUAAGGGAAGGUUUAAAUUCCCUCUCGGCCAAGCUUCUUUCUUUCUGUGAG